rnacentral:pre_miRNA from 2 species
UGAGCGCCGGGUCCUGAUUGUCCAAACGCAAUUCUUGUGUCUGCCCCAAGAAUUGAGUGUGGACGUCGGGAGCCGCCGUUCCCCA